GUUGUCAGGACAUCUAUGAUACCUUAGUGACACAAUUUAAGAAAAUUUAUUCUAAACCAAAUCUUGUUAUUUUUUAAAGGUUUUAUUAAUUUUUAUAUAUGUAUGUUUUGCCUGUAUGUACAGAUGCAUAUCACGUGCAUGCCUGGUAUCCAGGGAAGCCAGAAAGUAUUGGAUCCCCCGGAACUGGAGUUAGAGAUGGUUGCGAGCUGCCAUGUGAGUGCUGUGAACUGAGCACUUCUCAAGAGCAGUAAGUGCUCUUAACCACUGAGCCAUCUCCAGCCCAUCUUAUUAUUAGUAAUCAAAGCCUGUUUGAGAGGAAAAGAAAAAGUUCAAAUUGAUGCCAUUGUCUUGACUCCAGAUGUAUAGGAAUGAUUGAACUAUGAUGUAAAGCAGAAUCUUUAUGUUAAAAUCCAGUGAGCCGAGAAGUAGGAUGACAAAGAUGAAUGAGACCUUGCCUGGGAGAGGAUGGAAAGAUGUGGACAUGGUGCAUUUGAGGGUUAAUUCAGCUCUCCACAUACAGUGUACUGCCUGUAGUUGGAAGUAACUACUAAAGAGCAAGCUCAACAUUCGUGUUAGUGCUUUGUUCAAAUCAGUAUUGCAUGUGGGAAGGCAAGUUGAUAUUCUGUGGGUGCUGUGUAAAUUGUGGAAGCAAGCUACUUAUUUACAUUUCUCCAUUGAGAGUAGUGUGUAUUAAAUAAUCACUGGUGGCUUGGCAUCUGCAACUUACUGACCAGGUCCAUACUAAGCUUCAUAGAUUUCUGUUUUAAGAUGAUUUCUUUAGGGGAGGCAGAGGCAGAGGCAGGUGGAUCUCUAGACCAGCCUGCUCUCUAGAAUGAGCUCCAGGACAGCCAAGACUACACAAAGAAAACUUGUCUUAAAAGAAAAGAAAAAAAAGAUUAUUUCUUUAGUUUUUUUGGGGGCUUUUAAUGCAGUACCUUAGGUUUCUUGGCCAUCUUUACUUGAGUUUUGUUAUUGAAAUGUAGUUUUCCUCUCAGGCUGGCCCUUGUCCUGUAUAAUCCAUUCUCAACUUUUUCUAGCUACCAAACCCAUAUUUUUUAAAAAGUCAGCACACACACACACACUCACACACCUGUGCGUGGCUGGCCUGGACUAAUUGGAGGAUAGACUUGGUAGAGAAACCAACGGUGUGCAGUAGAUAACUAUCACCACCUACUCUACCCACUGUUUCUCUUUGUGCACUAUGUGCCUGGUGUCAGAGUAGGCCAGAAGAGGGUGUGCCCCUGGGUGGAUACCCGGUACUAGAGUUAGACUAUUUUGAGCUACCUUGCGGGUGCUAGGAAUCAAACCAGGGCCCUGUAGAAGAGCAGCCAGUGCUCUUAGCUGCUGAGCCAUCUCUCCAGCCCCACAGUUUCUUCUAAGCCUUUCCUAACUUCUCUGUACUACAUUCUCCUGUUCAUACUAAUUUCCUAUCUUCCAGAAGGCGGCCACCAAGUCAUGAUGCGGUUAACCUAGUCCUGAGAGACAUUUUCAAAGUUCAACAUGUUUGGGCCCACUGAUAGGAAAGUACUUAACAAAAAUGAGGUAGUUUGGCAGGUUAUGUCUUAUUUAAGGUCACUAUUGCUGUAAUAAAAUGACAUGGCCAAAAGCAAGUUGGGAAGGAAAAGAGUGUAUUUUGCUUAAACUUCCAUUUCAUUAUUUAUCAGGGAAAGAAGUGCAGGCAAGAGCUGAUACAGAAGACAUGGAGUGUUUGCUGGCUUGCACAACCUGUUUUCUUACAACACUGAUACCCAGCCCAGAGGUGGCACUUAUAAUGGACUGGGCCUUCUACAUCAAUCACCAAUAAAUAAAAUGCCCCAGGGGCCUGUGUGCCAAUACAGUCACUACCCUCCCUUCCUUUAUUUUUGUUUUUUUGAGACAUUGUUUCUCUGUGCAGCCCUGGCUGUCUUGGUAGUAUAUAGAAAAGGCUAGCCUCCCAAGUACUGGGAUUAAAGGUGUGUACCACCAUUCCUGGCUAGCCAGCCCAUUUUUCACGAAGGUACUUUUUUCUAUUAAGUUUCCUCCUCUGAGGUGACUCCAGUUUGUGUCAAAAGGGCAUAAAACUGGCCAGGACAGUGACUUUAGUAGUUGCCUUCCAAGGAGAUAACAAUGAAGGUGGACUGGAGCUCCUUAUCCCUGAGAUUGCUUAUGAAUCUGAGAACACAGUCGGAAUGGGGGCUUUAGAUUGAAUACACAAAACUGGAAUAAGAUGUUAAAAUGUAUGAGAUAGGCUGUUCUCACUCAGGUGGAGCUGGCAUGCAGGUGAAAGUGGGAGCCAAUGUGCAUUUAUACUGAAGAGGGUAGGAUAUAGUAAAAUUGAGGCUGGAGCAGAGCAGGAGGCCUCCAACCAUCUUCUUUGCACUGUUUUAGAUAGUUCCCAGCAAUGUGUUUCAAGACUAGGUAAGAGAAAGCAAGACUAGAUCCUAAAAUCCUUUAUCCCAAGAUUCCUCCCCCUGGGUGGGAUAGCCUAAUGUAACCAGUCUGUUAAAAAGAACUAUCCAAACUGACCCUCAGUAGCCAGCCCUUUCUUCCCUUAGACUCCAGGCAGUAACCUGGAGCUUUUAGGUACACAUAGCCACACUCACGUGAUCUGCUGUCAUUCUUUUUACGAAAUACAUUUUAAUUUCAUGCAUGCAUGCAAAUGUAUGACAUUUUGGUCAUAUUCAUUCACCCUAUGCUCCUCCCCCAGCUCUACUAUCCACAACUCUUGCUGUCAGGCUUGGUGUGUGUUCUAAUCUGUACUAUUGCUUGACUUUAAAAAAGUUUUUCCAGGGGGCUGGAGAGAUGGUUCAGAGGUUAAGAACACUGGCUGUUCUUCCAGAGGUCCCGAGUUCAAUUCCCAGCAACCACAUGGUGGCUCAUGACCGUCUAUAUUAAGAUCUGGUGCCCUCUUCUAGUGUGUAGGUAUACACGAAGAUAGGGUAUUCAUAUACAUAAAAAAAAAAAAAAGUUUUUCCCUUCUCAAUUUGUUUUUGCUUCAUUCUCGAAUAAGAUCAGGAACCUGGGAAUUCCCAGACUAGAUCCCGACCCCAGGACUGGGAUGUUGGGAUCUAGUCUGGGAAUGUUCUCUUGUGAGCUAGGUGUGUCUACCCGGUGUGUUCAGUGUUGGGUUUCAGCAUUUUAAAAAAUUAAAAAUCAUGCUUUCCCAAACUGUAAGUAGCUGAAGGUGAUGGCACACACCUUUAAUCUCAGCACUGGGGAGUCAGAUGCAGGCCUGGUCUACAUACUGAGUUUCAGGACUUCACUAAGAUGCUUGAUCUCAAAAUUAAAUAAAAUUCCAGGAAAUGCUUUACACCUGGUCAUCAUGAAUAAGAAUAUAUACAGUGUUAUCCAGAUGCACUCAACAGAUGAAUUUAGGAUUGGAGAGGAAAGUACCAAUUUCAUGGAAUGUGGUUUCUUUCAGGCUUUAUGUAUGAUACCUUGGUCAAGGGGGAUGUUAUGUCCAUGGUCCUCAGUGGUGAGGGCCAUGUGCAAAGACCGAGUUCUUUUCAUUGGGCAGUCUACCUUGCGAGACCCUUUCUGCGCUAGCCUCCAUGCUCACUCCCUCUGCUGCUUGGCAUACACUGAUGCCUGGACUGGUUUCUCUGUGGCUCUUGGUAGAGUGGAGCUGACUCUGAAACCCAGCAAAUUCCAUCUAGUCCAGCUGGGACCAGAACCUGUAGGAACCUUGCUGACCUAAGUUCUUUUACACUCCAAGGCAACCCCUGGCACUGUGAGUUCUCGGUGUCUUCUCUCCUCACAGAGAUCUGCCUGCCUCUGCCUCCUGAGUGCUGGAAUUAAAGGUGUAUACUGCUCAGCUUGAGAACUGCUUUGCAUCUGCCUUGUUGAGCUAACCUGUUGACAGAUGAAAAGAUGAAGAAGGGACCAUGCACAACACCAGCCAUGCCCACAGUUCCUCGGUGGACUUGGUCUCCUCAGCCAAUUCUCACAGAGCGUAGCUCAUGGCUAUGAGACUUCCAGGACUGCCCUCCUUACUGCCACCACCAGUCUCGACUUGCUUUGGCAAAACAACUCCAAUUUUAUCCUGAAGAAAUAUAUGCUGAACCCAGGAUGACUUCUUUUUCUUACAGUUGGGUUCCUGAAGAUUCUGAAAGGUGGGCCUUUCAUCUCGUACAGAUAAGAGCCCAAUGAAGUUGAUAUGCUGGAUAUGGAAAACACUGACAAGGCUCCUGAGCAGCGCUGGGAUUAUGGGUCUAUGCUACCAUGCCCAACAGGAUACUUUGCUAAAAAUGGUAAUACUGUUUUGUUUCUUUGAGACAGUGUUUUCUCUGUUUAUAUCCCUUGCUCUUCUGGAACUCACUCUGUAGACCAGGCUGGCCUCAACAUAGGUUUGCCUCUGCCUCCUCAGUGCUAGAAUUAAAGCCGCUGCCUGGUGGUAACACACUGAGUAAGAUCCUGCUUUCUUUAACUCUAUACUUAUAAGCUGGGAAGGAGAAUCCCCUGAGUUCAUAGCUAGCUUGGGCUACAGAGUAAGCUACUGCCUCACAAGACAGACUAUAUUUGCCUGGCUUCUAGGGUCCCAGCUUUACAGUGACACCAUUUGCAAGAAUGAUUAUUUCACAAAUUGGCUUUUCUUAAGAAAAACUAUAGUUGUGGAUGAUGGGUCAUACCUGUAAUCUUAAAAAGUUCAAAGCCAGACUAGGUUACAGUGAGACUCUAUCCCACCCUCCCCCAGCAAACCCUGAAAUGUACUAAUAUUUCUGCCUCCUGAGCACUGGGAUUAGAGGUGUAUAUACCACACCUGCUUUUGCUUACUGUUUUUGAAGGUUUUAAAUUAUCUACUUGUACCACAUCCUAAAUUCUUUGUGUUAAGUCUCACAAAAACAGUAAAAACAACAAUAAAGGUCUAAGUUAGACAACAUGAGGAAAACUUAGAGGGUCAAGUCUCAAGUCAACUUGUAUGUAAUAACAAAACGUUCACUAAAACAGUAAGAUGCCAGACUCAUGACAGAACUUGUAUCUGGGGAGCAAUUUUGGCAACAUCCACAAUACACUUUCAAUAUUUUCUUAAUUUCAAUGUGGUUGGGGAUGCAAAAUGUAAAAUAGUAAAUAAAGGUGCUUCUGCUGAUAACAAGAUCAACUGUGUCAGAGAACCUUCUAUCGGGUGAAGCUGUGAGUGAUCCUACAUAUGCAAACACUGCUAGCUAACAGAAUGUCCAAAUGCAUGGAACUCACUGAAGAGCUGCCUGGAGUCUGUCCCACAGCUUUACCUUCACACCAACACUCAAGGUCUGUACCUUCUUGUUGCAGAACCACCAACAGAAGGCACAUUUUACAGGUGCCUAACCCUUAUCAUGUACCUAUAGGUAAGAACCUAACUGAAACCAAGAAAAACAGCACAUUCACAUACAUAUGACACCUGUAGAAACAUUUUAGAAUACCUACAAAGUGGGAGAUUAUUAGUUCAAGGUUAGCCUCAGAUACAGUGAGUUAACAAAAUACAAAGGCAAAAGACCUUCACCGUGAUAUAAGCUUGCCUACCAUACACAAAAACUGUGACACAGCGAUGAAGGAAACCGAGAGCCACUGCAUGUUUAUGGAUUAUGAAAAUCAGUAUUAUCAAAAGCCCAUUGUAGAGGCUGGAGAGAUGGCUCAGAGGUUAAGAAUACUCGCUGUUCUUCCAAAGGUCCUGAGUUCAAUUCCUCACAACCACAUGGUAGCUCAUAACCAUCUAUAGUAAGAUCUGGUGUGCAGGCAGAAUGUUGUAUAAAUAAUAAAUAAAUCUUAAAACAAAAACGCCCAUUGUAGCAUUCACCUUUAAAGCCAGCACCUGGGAAACAGACUGAACCCUGCGCUCAAGAUCAGGCUGGGCUAACGGGAGACCCUGCUGCAAAAGCUCACCAAGUCCACACUGCCCAAAACAAUCUAACUGACCAUACACUAGGUAUCUCAGAAAGCUAGAAGGGAUCUCAAGUGCUUUUCACAUAAACCAACAACAGUGAGAUGCUUACCUUAAACAAUUUAUACGUAGCAUAAGAAUGCUGUGGGGAGCUAGGCAUGGUGGUACACACCUAUAAUCCCAGCAGGAACAUCAGGAGCUGAAGGCAAGCCCUGGCUGUACAGGGAGUUUAAGACCUUCCUGGGCUACAUAAGAGCCCAACCAAGUCUCACAACAAGUCACAUGGCUAUUUCACUUCCAUAAAGUACAAUUUCUACAUGUUAUGUAUAUUGUUAAUGCCAUAUUAACAAAGGGGGAAACGUACAGCCUUUUGUAAUAUCCAGGAACACGGCUAAUGAAAAGUUGCCCACCCUACGUGCACUGACUCCAAACUAUAUCUCAUGACGUCAAUAUGGUUGUGUCCUACCU